rnacentral:rRNA from 1 species
GUGGGGAAUAUUGCGCAAUGGGCGAAAGCCUGACGCAGCGACGCCGCGUGAGGGAUGAAGGUUUUCGGAUCGUAAACCUCUGUCAGAAGGGAAGAAACUACAUUGUGCUAAUCAGCAGUGUACUGACGGUACCUUCAAAGGAAGCACCGGCUAACUCCGUGCCAGCAGCCGCGGUAAUACGGAGGGUGCAAGCGUUUAUCGGAAUUACUGGGCGUAAAGCGCACGUAGGCUGUAGUGUAAGUCAGGGGUGAAAUCCCACGGCUCAACCGUGGAACUGCCUUUGAUACUACACAACUUGAAUCCGGGAGAGGGUGGCGGAAUUCCAGGUGUAGGAGUGAAAUCCGUAGAUAUCUGGAGGAACAUCAGUGGCGAAGGCGGCCACCUGGACCGGUAUUGACGCUGAGGUGCGAAAGCGUGGGGAGCAAACAGGAUUAGAAACCCCGGUAGUCC